rnacentral:rRNA from 1 species
AUUGAACGCUGGCGGCAGGCCUAACACAUGCAAGUCGAGCGGAUGAAGAGAGCUUGCCCUCUGAUUCAGCGGCGGACGGGUGAGUAAUGCCUAGGAAUCUGCCUGGUAGUGGGGGACAACGUUUCGAAAGGAACGCUAAUACCGCAUACGUCCUACGGGAGAAAGUGGGGGAUCUUCGUACCUCACGCUAUCAGAUGAGCCUAGGUACGAUUAGCUAGUUGGUGAGGUAAAGGCUAACCAAGGCGACGAUCGUUAACUGGUCUGAGAGGAUGAUCAGUCACACUGGAACUGAGACACGGUCCAGACUCCUACGGGAGGCAGCAGUGGGGAAUAUUGGACAAUGGGCGAAAGCCUGAUCCAGCCAUGCCGCGUGUGUGAAGAAGGUCUUCGGAUUGUAAAGCACUUUAAGUUGGGAGGAAGGGCAGUAAGUUAAUACCUUGCUGUUUUGACGUUACCGACAGAAUAAGCACCGGCUAACUUCGUGCCAGCAGCCGCAGUAACAC